UAUGCAAAUGUAGGAUGGGGAAUCCUCUUUCUAAAUAUAGUAUCAUAUUUGAGGUCAGAGACUUUUUGCACCAAUCAAAGCAAUCUUGAUUAACCUGUGGAAAAUAUACAAAUUCACUUGAUGCUUGGUGGGCCGGGCCUUGCGCAUGCGUAAGUAACUCUGUUGUACGAUUUCCUAUAGACGUCACGCUAUCGAAGAAAUGUCAACAUGUAACCUAUUUAAUCUCUGAAUAUCUGCCGGGAUUGUUUGAAAUACGAUAUUCUGAAGUAGUAAUGGAAAUAGUGAUUCUUAUGAAUGGCAGGGUAGGGCUAAUUAGCCCAACCAAAAGCAGGGGCGGAUUGGGCCGGGCGGACAAAAAAUGAAAAAUUUUUUUUGGCCAAUUCGUCUACAAAAACCUUUUUUUCUGCUGAACAUUAUAUUGGGGUGGUGGUGGUAUUGGACUGGCCAUGGAGAGAUGAUGAUCAUUGUUGUAUGUGGCCGGUGGCUUUAACGGGCCGCCACGCCAUCACUGGAGUCUGGAAUGGGCUGGUAUAAUUCGGAAUCCUGCAUAAUAAGAUGAUAUGAUAAUUUCACAGGUUGAUGGUUGUAAAUUACUUGCAGGUUGGGGUUUUGGCCUAAAUUAAUCGAUUUAUGAGAUAUCUUAUUUAACAGAGAUUAUAAUCAGAUAUGCCACCAAAUUGCAUAUUUCAUUGGGUUUCAUUUUUCAAAGUAUUCAUGGGGGAGAGCCAAACACCCCAUCCGGGCUCCGCUGUCAGUAAAAUGGGCUGCUCCGACACGGGAGCCUGGGACGGUUCCCGGCCCCAAUCCGCCCCUGACCAAAAGCAACUUUGAUUUGCUCAUGAUGUCGAACAAUGGAAUGAAGUUUUUAUUUUUUGAUAAUUAUUUAGCCCUAUAUUAUUAGAUUUUUACACCGAAGAAUGACAAAAGUUAUAGGAAAAGUUUCGGAAUUCGGAUCAGGUGUUGAUUAUUUUGGAGAAUAUUUCAUUAUGAAAUGACAUGGAUCAUAAAGUUUGCCUACAUCAGAGUCAGGGGACAUAUUGCUUACAGAUUUGCCGAGACACCAACAGCCUAAUAUCCUAUCUCUCACAGUCUCACACAACAACUUUUGGUCUUGGAAUGAAUUAUUAGUGAGCAGAAAUUCGGCCGUGUAUCUGUUAUCACUCGUCACAUCAGUCAGUUAUAUAGAGAUAUCCUAUCUCUCACAGUCUCACACAACAACUUUUGGUCUUGGAAUGAAUUAUUAGUGAGCAGAAAUUCGGCCGUGUAUCUGUUAUCACUCGUCACAUCAGUCAGUUAUAUAGAGCUCUUUCACAAUGUCAAUCUGAACAACAGACUCAACCUACCUGCAGAGAAGUGACUGUUUUAUAUUGUGGACGCAAGAAAAUGAUUCCUUGAAAGACCUACAUAAUAUAGCCUACUUCAAUACUUACAUCCAAGUCUAUCAUUUACAAUGGAAGAUAGCAACGAAAAGUUACCAUUCUUAGAUGAAAUGGUAACUAUAAAGUCAGGACGAAUUGAAACUGAAAUCUAUUAUAAACCUACAGAUUCCAAACAGUAUUUAGACUACAGCUCCUGCCAUCCACGCCAUAUUAAAAAUAGCAUUCGAUAUAUUCACUAGCCCGUAGAAUAUGUACCACGGUAUCAGACCCCACUACUCUAGACUUAAAGCUGAGAGAAUUAGAGAAACUAUUAAAAGCCAGAGAGUAUCCUGAUAGUAUCAUUUUGGAUGCUAUAACAAUGGCCUGUUCUUUUAACCGAGGCUAUCUUCUAAAACAAAGGGAACAAGAAAAAGGGAACAAGAAAACAAUUUGGCAGCCUUACCUAUUAUUACUACAUUUAACCCCUGCAAUCCAAAUAUUUAUCCAAAUGUGAGAAACUAUGUACAGGCGCUAGACACAUGUCCAAAACUAAAGCAUGCUCUAAAAGGUACUAAAAUGAUAAAUAGUAAACGGCAGAGCAAAAAUCUGAAACAAAUGUUAUCAAAAGCAUGCUUUAUUGAUCAAAAACCUUUGUUAGGUGGAAGUAUCACGAAAUGUAAUAGGCCGAAUUGCGGCACAUGUUCACACAUUUUGGAGGUAAAUUCAUUCACCUUUAGGAAUAACUCAAAAUUCAAAAUAAUGGAAAAUAUGUUGUUGUGGUGAAGAAUAUAUUGGUCAAACGGGGGAUGUAUUGAGAGCAAGAGUCUGAGUACAUAAACAACAAAUUAAAACCCCAUAUUAUAGAUGCAGCACAUAUAGAUGAAUGUGCAAAGAAUUGCAAUCCCCAGUUAGCAAUCUGUCCUAUAUACAAAAUGCGCACAGAGAAUAAAGAGUCGAGGAAAAUCAAAGAACGAUAUAUUGAAGGAUAUACCCCUAAACUAAACUGUAACUAACAUGAAAUCAUGUUGACGUCACAUUUACUGCGUAUGACGUCAUGAAUUAUGUCCCUUGCCAUUGUUAACGCUAUACCAUUAGCAACACAAUGUAUAAGUUACCCUGAUGAUCACUAUGUUGUGAAACCGGUUAUUAUUAUCAUUAUUAUUAGCCCACUUUGAAUGCAUGUGCAAUUGAUUGAUUGAUUGAAUAUAGUUAUAUUUUUGUAUCAUAUUGUAAAUAGUGUAAAUAUUUCUUUUGUCUUAUCUCUUUACAUGUUAAAAUUUUGGGGAGAGGGAUUACUUCCUGAAUUGUGGCCCCUGAUUGUACGAAAAAUCGCUUUUUUAGCUUUAUCCGAUUUAAAAAAAACAUAUUAUUAUAUCACCGUUACACCCUAAGGACGGCUGAGUUCUGACAGACAAAACUGACAGACAAAAUGGCCGCCCUUCGUUCUCAAAUAGCAUAAAAAUAUGGUAUAUCAAGGUUGUGGACCCUAUAGAGGUCACAAUUUUAAUCCUAUUUUGAUAAAACUUGAAAUAUAAGUUUAUAACCCGAAGAUCUUGGUUCCUUUUGAUAUUCGCGCAUAUCGGACCGAAACUUCCUGAAUUAUGGCCCCUGAUUGUACGAAAAAUCGCGUUUUUAGCUUUUGGACCCUAUAGAGGUCAUAAUUUUUAUCCGAUUUGAAAAAACGAAUUAUUGUAUCACCGUCACACCCUAAGGACGACUGAGGUCGAAUUUCGUGAAAAUCAUCCCAAAACUGACAGACAAAAUGGCCGCCCUUCGAUCUCAAAUAGCGUAAAAAUAUGGUAUAUCAAGGUUGUGGACCCUAUAUAGAGGUCACAAUUUUUAUCCGAUUUUGUUGAAACUUGAAAUGUAAGUUUGUAACCCAAAGAUCUCGGUUCCUUUUGAUAUUAGUGCAUAUCGGACCGUAACGUCCAGAAUUAUGGCCCCUGAUUGUACGAAAAAUUGCGUUUUUAGCUUGUGGACCCUAUAGAGGUCAUAAUUUUUAUUCGAUUUGUAAAACCGUAUUAUUAUAUCACUGUUACACCCUAAGGCCGUCCGAGUUCGAAUUUCGUGAAAAUCGGCCCAAAACUAACAGACAAAAUGGCCGCCCCUCAUUCUCAAAUAGCGUAAAAAUAUGGUAUAUCAAUGUUGUGGACUCUCUAGAGGUCACAGUUUUCUUUUGAUUUUGAUGAAACUUGAAAUGUAAGUUUAUAACCCAAAGAUCUUGGUUCCUUUCGAUAUUCCCGCAUAUCUGACCGUAACUUCCCGAAUAAUGGCCCCUGAUUUUACGAAAGAUAGGUUGCCAGGCAACGAAACAUACGCCCACAGCAGCUAUAUCGUCCGGGCAGUCAACAAGAGUUGUCACAUAUUUUUACUUUUUUCGGUAAUGAAACAUUUAUAAUACAUUAAAAUCUGAUUAAGAGUAACAACUCAUUAAGUAAUUAUCAGAAAACAAUUAGAAUUUGUUUGGUUUUUAUAAAGUUCGGGCCCAGGCUAACGUUUAGUAUAUGUAACCUUUAAUAUCAUGGAUUUAGCUGUUCAAGUCAUAAAGAUUCAUUGAAAAUCAAUAUACUUGUUCGUCUCAAGACCUUAAACUCUGUGUAUUAAUCUGAAGUCAAUCGGAUGAUAACUUUAGCCUCUAGAGCGUCACAAGAUUUUUCAAAGUGAUCAAGGGCCAUAACUCUGGCAGUAGUUAUCGGAAAUCGCUGAAAUCAUUAGGCUUCUUUCAAUGUGGGCGUAUAAAAAUCGCGUUUUUAGUUUGAGGUCCCUCUAGAUGUCACAAUUAUUAUCCGAUUUAAAAAAACGUUCAAAUAUAUCAGUGUUACACCGUAAUUUUGGUUGAGUUUGAAUUUCGUGAAAAUCGGACCAAAAUUGCCGGACAAAAUGGCCGCCCCUCGUACACAAUUAGCGUAAAAAUAUGUACAUUUGUAUAUCAAUGUUGUGGACCCUCUAGAGGUCACAAUUUUCUUCUGAUUUUGAUCGUAACUUCUUGAAUUAUGGCCCUUGAUUUCAGACCAUAACUUUCUGGAUUAUUGCCCCUAAUUGUACAAAAAAUCUGGUUUGUUUUUGGCUUGUUCUCUAUCCAUAUCUUGCAAAAUGUGGGUGUAUCCUGCCUGGCAGCCGCUGGUUUUGUAUUUGAGCUGUAAAUGAUUGUGUUGAUGCAAUUGUGAAAACAUCAUUCUCACGUAUUAUAUAUAUCAUCGUGAUCCGAUGUUGUUACAAUCAGAAUUUGAGAUUAAAGUGUAUUUAUAAAGAGCGUCUCAGUAUAUAUUCCAUGUUUUAACAAAAUCCAUUCAAUAGAUGUAAAAUUAUUAUGUUUCAAAGGAUCAUAUUACUGUAGACUAAUUAAAUAUGCACAUGUAGCAUGGAUAAUUGAACUAAAAGUGAAUGAAUAUGAUAAUGAUAAUGAAUAGGACAAGAUAAUGGAUAUGAUAAUUUAUAUGAUAAUUUAAUAGUCAUCCCCACCUUGCCCUGGCUUUCACAGAAAGUUAUAAUGGCAAGUUUAAAAUGUCUAAUUUAACGUGCCCUAUUUACAUGUAACAUGCCUAGACCCUGUCAUUUUCUGUGAAAAUCACCAUUCGUUUGAAGUGGAUGUUAAGCCCCAGGAAUAAAUGAAAAAUGUCUCUAACAGACAAGGCAGUUUCAUUUGAAAAAUUCUUAACUAUCCUACAAGAGCAUCAGACCUGUAGAUAUAUAUGUGGGUGGCAAAUAUUUCAAAGGUUAUUUAUUUUUAUGUAAUUAAAAACUACAAAUAAUA